GGAACAAUGAGGAGGCAUGUAUAAAAUUAGUCUCUUCAUGACUCAACAUUGCGGUAUAUUAAAAUCGAAGGCCGAGAUAUCGUUUCAGUCGUCGUCUUUUCUUCAUUAACUGUGUGAUUGUUGCUCGUCCACAC